rnacentral:rRNA from 1 species
AACGUAGGAGGCAAGCGUUAUCCGGAUUUACUGGGCGUAAAGCGCGUGCAGGCGGUCUGGUAAGUUGGAUGUGAAAGCUCCCGGCUCAACUGGGAGAGGUCGUUCAAAACUGCCAGACUAGAGGACGGUAGAGGGAGGUGGAAUUCCGGGUGUAGUGGUGAAAUGCGUAGAUAUCCGGAGGAACACCAGUGGCGAAAGCGGCCUCCUGGACCGUCCCUGACGCUCAGACGCGAAAGCUAGGGGAGCAAACGGG